rnacentral:tRNA from 1 species
GUGGCUGACUGGUUACGGUGUUCGCUUUCGAAGCGAAUAGUUCUGGGUUCGAUUCCCAUC